GGCUAACUUCAUUAAAAGGUUCUUCAUACCAAGAACCGAGCACUGGACCCACGCUCAGGAGACUGUCAGCUGCUCUUCCUGGGUGUGCACACCAGCCACUGUGGCAAAAGGCUGGUGUGACAGGAAGAGGCCUGCAACCCGGCUCUACUUCCUCCAGCCCUAUUUGACUGCACAAGUCAGCUUCUCAGAGGAGCUUCUCAGAGCUCCAGUUCCCUCUCCUCAAAGCGGAAAGGUACAGCACGGUGCUGGGAGCCAGGGCAACGCUCACCAGCUCAGCAGUGGGCUGGCUCUUGCCUGGCCUCCUUGGCACCAUGCCCACGCGCAUGGGCAGCGCACUGGCCUUCCCUGCCUUAAUUCCCUCUUGAUGCUUGGUGGUCAAAUGGCCUCAACUUCCCUGUCCAGUCAGCCUAAUGGAAAAGGACAAGCAAAGGAAAUCCAGCACACCUCCGAGGUAGUCAGGUGCACGAACGGUAGUGGCAGACUGCAAUCUCUGGUCCCACUUCCACGUUCUCCCUGAACCGCGCCUCACGCCUGCCACCUCUGCAGUUCCGGCUCACUUCCUCACUGGGGACUCUGGGUGGCCACGUGACCUGCUCUGGACGACUGACAAGCAGAGGCUUGCCCUGCGCCUGGCAUCUCUGCCUCAGCCACAGGAGAUGGGGAGCCCUGGAGAAGCCCCAGACUAGAGACGCAGGCCGAAGCAAAGCCCCUCCACCAUGCCUGGCAGUGCCUGGUGGGUGUAAGAAUAAAUGAUUGUUGGUUUAAGCCCCUGAGUUUGGGGAUGAUUUGUUACAUGGCAGCAUAUGGCACUAAUUGACUCUGCUCUGCAUUUCAAAGGCAAAUUAAAUAGCUUCCUCUGUACCUAGAGAUUUGGGACUAAAAGUACACAAAAUAUCAAAUGGAUACCCUCCAAAAGCUUUAUAUAUAAAGAACACUCAUUCAGAAGGAAGAAGUUUAAAAUUAGAGAUAAUUUCAAACACAUCCUUUUUAAGACAGUGUAUUUCUUAGAAAUGAGUACUUAACAGGAUUAUAGUAUUAAAUUUUAUGCAUUUAAUAUCUUCUCCAUAACUGUUAUGUCUAGUAAUUAAGCCAAACCAUAUGUAUAUUCAAACAUCUUAAUCUCUAAUCAAACUUACACACUAAAGAAUUAAGACAAAAUGACUAAUUAUUUGGCAAAGCACUGAUCCUUUUAAAUCUGUUUACACACACUUCUACUACUUCUGCUACAGUAUGGAGACUUUAAAAAUGAGCUUCUCUAAGGCUGCCUCAAAAGAAAGGAAAUGUUUCCACUAGCAUGACCCUACCAUUUUUUUUUUUGUUUGUUUGUUUUCUGGUACUGGGAAUCGAACUCACGACCUUGUGCUUGCCAGGCAGGGGCUGUGCUGCUGAGCUAAAUCCCUGGCCCCCCACCCUAUCAUUUAACACAUGGUAAACUGUAGGUACAACAAAUAAAGAAAUCUGAUCAGAUGACCAAAAAUCUGAGUAAGUAUUAAGCCAGAAACUCAAACUAACAUUGAGAUCUCUGUAUCAUUACUAUUCCUAUUAAAAUAAUUACUUACAAUCCCUUUUCCUUCUUAGAAAUUUCAGGCAAUAUUACAUAUAAUGUUAAACUUUUUAUGCAUAGACAAUUUUUAGAAGUUUCUAGAAAAAAGACAAGCCAGAGCAAACAAAUUCAACUCUGUGCAUUGUGCAGCAAUUCCCAAAUCACUCAUUACAGAAAUAUCUAAUUGCUACUGCAUGCAACAAUAAACCCUCACAGCAAUUUGUUACAAUGUACUUUAGCCUUGCUCAGUUAUCCAUGGUAGGAUUUUAGAGGAACAAGUGACUUUACACCAAAUAUAAAUACUUCUUGAUGAGCUACAAAGCAUUAUGCCACUCCUGGCUUUCCACAACACACGGCAUACCACAUUGCUUCACUCCUUUUGUAUGGCAUGCGUCUAGAACACCUGCAUAUAAACUAACAGCCAUGCUGUGGUGACCAGGACAGAUGUGCAGGAUUUCUACCACUUCCAUCACCACCUUCCGUCACUCAGCCGGACCCAGUGCUCACAUCCAGUAUAGCAAGUGAAGGGGCACCUGGAUGUCUCGUGCCCAGGCAGUGCAGGGAUCCUGAAUCCUUGGUCAAUUCUGGCCUCAAGAUUGCUACAAUUCAACAGUUUGUGAACACAUUUCUAAAAGGUUUUUUGGAAUAUUGCCAGGAGUAAAGAACAGUCCCAAGCUCCAUCUCUCUGCUUGAAGCUGGCUGUUUUCCCCCUUCUAACUGGUAAUUAAGAAAAUGUCCUAAUGCAUUUUAAGGGAAAGGAAGCAUAUACAUAUUUUGCUUGAAGCUAAGGCAUUUUCUCCAGGGACACACACUGGAAUGUACAAUACAAGUUAUUAACAAAGUGUGAUUCACCCAUAAUAAUUCAUUUUAUAAACAACUUCCACAUUCAGACAUUAGAGAUACCCAAAGGUACCCGGUAACAUUCUUUACCAUUCCAGAUUAAUGUUUUUGAAGAGUCUUAAGAGAAUACUUCAUGCAGUUAAGAGUAUAAACGUUUGAUUAAAAACCAACAAGGAUGUCCAUUAUUAUUUUAUUCAAUACUGUUAAAAAAAGUUCUAGCAUACUCAAUAAAAUUGAAACGUAAAUAUGAAGUAUUAACUGUUGUGAAAGAAGAUACAACAAUAAUUAAAACAACAUGCUCAGCACAGCAGCACCUGCCUAUAAUCCUAGCUACUCAGGAGCUGAGGCUGGAAAGCAAGUUCAAGGCCAGCCUGGGCAAUUCAGCAAGACUCUGUCUCAAAAUAAAAAAACGGUUGGAACUUAAUUCAGUGGUAGGUUGUUUGUGCCCUAGGGUCAAUCCCUGGUACUGAAAAAAAUGAAAUGAAACAAUGUAUUACUUAAGAACACAAUCAAAAGCAAACAAAAUACAAAAAAAAAAAAAAAAAGAACACAAUCACAAGCUAAUGGAACAGAAGAAAAUAUCUGGGCAAUAGACCCUUGGGUAAAUACUCAAGUAAUGGAGAAAGGACCACUAUUCAAUGAAAGAGAAACUAAUCAUUCAAUCAACUGUGGUGGAGAAGCUGAAGUUACUACGAAAGAAAAGAGUCCACAGCUGCACCUUGCACUGCACCACAAAAUGCUCUCCAAGAUACUCAAAAGAUAAACAUCAUGAAAUUAAGGAACACACCAUCUUAUUCCUGGAUCAGGAGCAAUGUUCUAAAUGUAAAAGCAGGGCUGGCACAGGUGAAUGCAAGUCUGGAAUUUCUAGAAUUCUAAAAUUAUAAAACUACACAUUUAACAAAGUUAGAGCAAAAUAUUGGCAAUCACAUGACAAAAACAUACAUCUUUAAUAGGUAAGUGUUUUUACAAAUAAAGGAAAAAAUAUAUAAACAUCCGCAUAGGUAUGUAACAGAAAAAAUGGGCAAAGAACAAUUCACAGAGGAAACAAAUGACAACAUCUAGCGGACACUUUUUUAAAGUGUUCGAUCUCAUCAGUGAUUUUUUAAAUGCAUUAUUUCCAAACUCAUUGUCAAAUUCUACUCACAGGACACAGUACCCUAGUACCCCGACAAAAAGGUUAACUGGCCCAAUCUUUGCACAAAAUAAUUCAGCAACACACAUCAACACCACUAUGAAAGGACAGAGGUACUCAGUAAUUCUAACCUGAGGAAGCCAUCCUAACGACGUAAUUUUGACAUGAAAGCCAAGUUUUAUACACGAAGACAUCCAUGAUGUAAUUAUUAUAGCGGCAAAAGAUAGUAAAUAACAAAAAUUACCAAGGGAUUAAAUAAGUUUAUGGAAAUUUUGUUUGUUUGGUUUUUUUGUUAUUGUUGUUGCAAUGUUGGGAUCAAACCCAGGACCCUAUGAAUGCCUGGCAAGCAAUGUGCCACCAAGUGUAUCACACCCUCAGUCCAGUAAGGGUUCAUCAGAGUGUACAUCUCUACAUGAUAACUUCAUUUUACCUCCAAUUCUUAAGAACAAUGAGAGCAGAUUAUGAGAACCAAAGAAUAUAAAAGAUACACAGCAUCUUCAAUAUGUUAAGAAAUUUAAUAUUCACAGAAAAAAACUGUAGUAAAUAAACCAAGAUAUUAACAGUGGUUGUCUGCACUGAUUUGACUUGUAAUUUUU
ensembl:lincRNA